rnacentral:rRNA from 1 species
AACGAACGCUGGCGGCAGGCUUAACACAUGCAAGUCGAACGCAUCCUUCGGGGUGAGUGGCAGACGGGUGAGUAACGCGUGGGAACGUGCCCUUCAGUUCGGGAUAACCCAGGGAAACUUGGGCUAAUACCGGAUACGUGCGAGAGCAGAAAGAUUUAUCGUUGAAGGAUCGGCCCGCGUCUGAUUAGCUGGUUGGUGGGGGAAUGGCCCACCAAGGCGACGAUCAGUAGCUGGUGUGAGAGGAUGAUCAGCCACAUUGGGACUGAGACACGGCCGAAACUCCUACGGGGGGCAGCAGUGGGGAAGAUUGGACAAUGGGCGCAAGCCUGAUCCAGCCAUGCCGCGUGAGGGAGGAAGGUCUUCGGAUUGUAAACAUCUUUCAGUAGGGACGAAGCGAAAGUGACGGUACCUAAAGAAGAAGCACCGGCUAACUACGUGCCAGCAGCCGCCGUAA